rnacentral:rRNA from 1 species
CCUACGGGGGGCUGCAGUGAGGAAUAUUGGUCAAUGGGCGCGAGCCUGAACCAGCCAAGUAGCGUGAAGGAUGACUGCCCUACGGGUUGUAAACUUCUUUUAUAAAGGAAUAAAGUGAGGCACGUGUGCCUUUUUGUAUGUACUUUAUGAAUAAGGAUCGGCUAACUCAGUGCCAGCAGCCGCGGUACUACGGAGGAUCCGAGCGUUAUCCGGAUUUAUUGGGGUUAAAGGGAGCGUAGAUGGGUUGUUAAGUCAGGUGUGAAAGUUUGCGGCUCAACCGUAAAAUUGCAAUUGAUACUGGGAGUCUUGAGUACAGUUGAGGUAGGCGGAAUUCGUGGUGUAGCGGUGAAAUGCGUAGAUAUCACGAAGAACGCCGAUUGCGAAGGCAGCUUACUAAACUGCCACUGACAUUGAGGCUCGAAAGUGUGGGUAUCAAACAGGAUUAGAUACCCCUGUAGUC